GAUAUAUGUAGGUCGUCAAGUCUGUAGAGUGAACAGAGAGAGUUUCGUGAUCCGAGGCGGACUACAACACAGGGAUUACGUAUGAUAUAUACGUGUAUAUAUGUAGGGCUGUGGGUGCGAGAACCAUGGCUGUGAGAGUCGGAAAUAUACAACUGUUUGUCGGUAUCACAGCCAUACUGGUCUGUCUCUGUGACGGCCAGUUAGAUAGUAAACCAGUGUGUACGUACGACAUUAAUCAAGCGGCCCAGGGAUGCCAGCUCGACAUACUUAUAAUGUCUGAUAUACUGAAGGACCCUUUGGACGGACAGACGAAUAGAGAAGACUUUUGCAGGAAUAGGUUUGAGCAGUGCGUAAAAGCCGUCCAGAGCGGAACGGAUCACCAAUGUGAGGGAGUCGAUGUUAAAGAAGAGAUGCACCAUGCACGUGUGAACGCCCUCAGGGGGUUCUGUCGUGAAAUAGACGUGUGGCAGAAAUACAAAGGCUGUUUGCAGGCUCAGCUGCUGGACGCCAUCGCUGUUUGCCAACGGGAGCAUUAUCUCAACAAACAGAAUUUCACUGGAACGGAGUUUUCCGGAAUGUACAAAUCGGAAUUUGACAGGAGGAAUGCGCGAUGCGGUGUUCAGCGCUCCUUCCAAGUAUGUACAGAAAACGUCAUAUACGCCAACUGUCGGGACUAUUAUUUUUACUUCAAAGACUACCAGGUGGCUCUGCUGACACCCUAUUGCCGCCAGUUAUACGAUCUGACGUCACGCUACGUCACGGAUGACCCAAACAAGGGGGCUACUCCUGGUUCUUCCAUUCUUCGGGUCGCAUUGGUUGCUGUUGCUACUUGCAUUACGUCAAAAAUCGCACUAUAAAAAAAAUAUCGUUCCAUCCUAGGUAAAUUGUUUCAUACAAGUGGAAAGUCUUCAAAGUAUCCUGCGUUUUGGGUUCAAAUGUUGAUGCACGGAAAUAAUAUGAGCUGUCAAAAGUCAGAAUUAAUCAGGGGCUCCGAAUUCCAAUGAGACAUAGGGUUGACUUCAAGAAACUGAAGGUGUUUACAGCAAUGUACGGGAAAAUACAAUCUAACCAUCGCUGAUACCACUUAUCUUCCAUAAAUACUGAAACAAGUCAGCUCGUCAAAGGUCGGAAAGUUCGUCAGUAACUUACAAAAGAUAUGCAGUCGACACAGGAAAUCAUUUUGCACCAGAUGCAUACAUCAACAGUUAUAAUGAUGUGCCGCUCCCUAAUGGGCACAGAAACCCCAAAGGGGAAACUGUGCGGUUCUUCUUUUUUCGCGUUUUUGGAGGUCACGUGACUGAAAGAACGUGAGUUGGAACCCAUUGCCUGUAUGAAGCUGAAAGAAUUAAACAGGAAAGAAUUUUAUGUUGUUCUCUGCAAACAUUGUGGAGCUCUAAUAAUAAGUUCAUAAGGUAGGGCCGUCCAAAAUUAAAAGAUUGACUUUUACCUCAUAUACACUCUACAUCUUCGAUGCAUACGCUUUCUCCCUCUUUGUUUGUAGCAGUGGGUAGGAGAAACAGAAGUUCAUCAAAUCAGCCAGAUUCCCCCAAGCUGACAACAAUUAUGCUUCAAAACCGACCUGCUCUAGAGCAAGAGCUCUACCUCAGUAGUAGAGUAUGCGCGUUUGGUGUCGCAUUGAGGAGUGAGUUUUUGUGGUUUUGAGGAGGGUGUUUUUUGUGUGGGUCACACCUGUGACGUGUCAGGUGUGUGUCAGAUAGUGGUGAUGGUGGGUUUUUUCCACGACGGGGUGUGUAUACUAGA